AUUCUUGGUUGGCUAUUUUACAACGUUGCAUUUCCUCGAGGGAAAAGCGGUGUUGCUGAUUGAGAGAGAAUCAGUUGGCUAUGGUUGGGCUUUUAUUUCUUCUUACAAACACUGGGUCAUAUAUUGGAAAGGGUGGUAUUUAUCGCAGAUUUUCCGGAAUUUUAUUUGGAGCGAUGGGCCUUGGACAAUUCCGAGCGACUCUGGAAUAUAACACUUGCUUGGAGAAACUCUGGAUGUUUUCCUAUAGCUUAUCAGGGUGAUAACAAAAAAUGUUUAUCUGAGCUGCGGACUCUGGAAAGCUAAGAUUUUUGUGUUGAUAGAAAUCACAGCCUAUAAGGCGCAAGUACAGUGCCUUGCGCAGGUCAUUGCGCGGGAGAUGUGAAUGAGGAAGAACCUAGAAUUAGGGGGAAUAGAAAAGUUUCUAGUCAAUCCAUGGUAAAUUUUUAUAUUGACUUCUUCUAGAAUUAUUACGUUAUAUUAAUCCUAUAAAUUUAUUAUUAUUUUUAUUGUUAUUAUUCUUGAUUAUUUUUGUGUAUAUUCUGUAAAUAUCAUAUAUAGCUUUUAAAGGAUUUCUUCGAACUUGAACAAUGGUUGCUUUUAUAUUUUCAAUUGUAUGCUCUUAAUUAAAAGGAAUUUUUGAAUAAUUA